rnacentral:rRNA from 1 species
GAUGAACGCUGGCGGCGUGCUUAACACAUGCAAGUCGAGCGGAGUUAUUUCAAGGAAGUUUUCGGAUGGAAUUGAAAUGACUUAGCGGCGGACGGGUGAGUAACGCGUGGGUAACCUGCCUCAUACAGGGGGAUAACAGUGGGAAACGACUGCUAAUACCGCAUAAGCGCACAGUGCUGCAUAGCACAGUGUGAAAAACCCCGGUGGUAUGAGAUGGACCCGCGUCUGAUUAGGUAGUUGGUGGGGUAACGGCCCACCAAGCCGACGAGCAGUAGCCGACCUGAGAGGGUGACCGGCCACAUUGGGACUGAGACACGGCCCAAACUCCUACGGGAGGCAGCAGUGGGGAAUAUUGGACAAUGGGGGAAACCCUGAUCCAGCGACGCCGCGUGAGUGAAGAAGUAUUUCGGUAUGUAAAGCUCUAUCAGCAGGGAAGAAAAUGACGGUACCUGACUAAGAAGCCCCGGCUAACUACGUGCCAGCAGCCGCGGUAA